rnacentral:tRNA from 1 species
GGCGUUAUAGUGUAGUGGUUAUCACUCGGGAUUUUGAUCAUGCUCAAGUUUCCCGAAACCCAGGUUCGAACCCUGGUAACGCCU